AUCAAAAAAAAAAAAUCUGGGGCUUAUCGGCGAAAAAAAAAACAGAAUCGGCUCAUUCCCUCGAUCCUUUCAGAAACAAAAUUGUUUUCUUUUUAUAUUUUGGUUUUUAAUCUUUUGUUUCUCUUUCUCUCUUUGCGUGUGUUUAAUUUUAUUUUAAUCUCCCUUCAUCACCUUUUGCCGAUUGGUGAUUUUAUAUGUUAAUCUUGCUUCUUCAAACUCAUUGAUUCUUCUCCUCUGGUUUCAGUUCCCUACAAUUUCUAGACUUUGAUCAUCUUCCACCUUCAUUACCGCGACGCGAAGGAGAGAAAGAAAAAUCAAAGGGUGGGCGAAUAGGAUACUGACACAUAAGGUUCCUAACCAAUCCUAACCCCCCCCCUUCAAUCAAGACCCGGUUCUCUUGUAUUUAGGUAACUGAAGGCAUUAGAAACAAUACAACUAAAAGGAAAAUGGCUGUCACUAUUUUUUUUUUGCGUCACUUCACCAGAUCCGUUUGAUUUUCUACGUCGAUGUUUCUCUAUUAAACCUUCCGGCAACAAUGCUGAGGAAAUUUGGAGAACAAAAUAUUUUUUUUCCAUCUGAUCAGGCUUGUUUAUGUUGGUGACUAUAUUUAUGUUGAUUAUGAGUUUA